GAAGUUCCCUUCUUAUGCAAAUCGUCACUCCCCUCCUCCAGACUCAGUUAACAAGAUUCUAAGCUGUAAAAAAAGAAAAGAAAAAUCACAACUGCUUUCGAAAACUUUUAGACUCGCCUCCGAAUCCGAUCAGCUGUAAUUUCCACACAAGGACACUUAUUGGAGUGUGGAACUCGCUUUUUGCUGGAGCUUAAGGACUUGUGUAUUUGGAUUCCUCUCCUGGAGACUCUCACCUGGAAACCAACCAUCCUCCGUCCUGCCACUCUCUCUCUCUCUCCCUCGGACCUGGAACACAAACAGACACUGAAACCUGAAACACUUACCUCCUGGAUUUCCCUUGCCUCCUCCUCUGAGCUGACCUCCCUCCCAAGAGCCUGCAAGAAACAAAGAGACAAUCUCCUCAUUAUACUCACCUUUACUCCUGUGGAUGACCAGCUAACUUCUUCCUAUACCCUUGCAGGACGAACCCACUGCUUUGCUUUCACUGUAAAUAAACAUCAUUUAACUUUUCA